GAUGAACGCUGGCGGCGUGCCUAAUACAUGCCAGUCGAGCGAACAGACGAGGAGCUUGCUCCUCUGACGUUAGCGGCGGACGGGUGAGUAACACGUGGAUAACCUACCUAUAAGACUGGGAUAACUUCGGGAAACCGGAGCUAAUACCGGAUGAUAUUUUGAACCGCAUGGUUCAAAAGUGAAAGACGGUCUUGCUGUCACUUAUAGAUGGAUCCGCGCCGCAUUAGCUAGUUGGUAAGGUAACGGCUUACCAAGGCAACGAUGCGUAGCCGACCUGAGAGGGUGAUCGGCCACACUGGAACGGAGACACGGUCCAGACUCCUACGGGAGGCAGCAGUAGGGAAUCUUCCGCAAUGGGCGAAAGCCUGACGGAGCAACGCCGCGUGAGUGAUGAAGGUCUUCGGAUCGUAAAACUCUGUUAUUAGGGAAGAACAAAUGUGUAAGUAACUAUGCACAUCUUGACGGUACCUAAUCAGAAAGCCACGGCUAACUACGUG
rnacentral:rRNA from 1 species